rnacentral:rRNA from 2 species
UGGCGAACUGGUGAGUAACACGUGGGAAACCUGCCCAGAAGCGGGGGAUAACACCUGGAAACAGAUGCUAAUACCGCAUAACAACUUGGACCGCAUGGUCCGAGCUUGAAAGAUGGCUUCGGCUAUCACUUUUGGAUGGUCCCGCGGCGUAUUAGCUAGAUGGUGGGGUAACGGCUCACCAUGGGCAAUGAUACGUAGCCGACCUGAGAGGGUAAUCGGCCACAUUGGGACUGAGACACGGCCCAAACUCCUACGGGAGGCAGCAGUAGGGAAUCUUCCACAAUGGACGAAAGUCGUGAUGGAGCAACGCCGCGUGAGUGAAGAAGGGUUUCGGCUCGUAAAACUCUGUUGUUAAAGAAGAACAUAUCUGAGAGUAACUGUUCAGGUAUUGACGGUAUUUAACCAGAAAGCCACGGCUAACUACGUGCCAGCAGCCGCGGUAAUACGUAGGUGGCAAGCGUUGUCCGGAUUUAUUGGGCGUAAAGCGAGCGCAGGCGGUUUUUUAAGUCUGAUGUGAAAGCCUUCGGCUCAACCGAAGAAGUGCAUCGGAAACUGGGAAACUUGAGUGCAGAAGAGGACAGUGGAACUCCAUGUGUAGCGGUGAAAUGCGUAGAUAUAUGGAAGAACACCAGUGGCGAAGGCGGCUGUCUGGUCUGUAACUGACGCUGAGGCUCGAAAGUAUGGGUAGCAAACAGGAUUAGAUACCCUGGUAGUCCAUACCGUAAACGAUGAAUGCUAAGUGUUGGAGGGUUUCCGCCCUUCAGUGCUGCAGCUAACGCAUUAAGCAUUCCGCCUGGGGAGUACGGCCGCAAGGCUGAAACUCAAAGGAAUUGACGGGGGCCCGCACAAGCGGUGGAGCAUGUGGUUUAAUUCGAAGCUACGCGAAGAACCUUACCAGGUCUUGACAUACUAUGCAAAUCUAAGAGAUUAGACGUUCCCUUCGGGGACAUGGAUACAGGUGGUGCAUGGUUGUCGUCAGCUCGUGUCGUGAGAUGUUGGGUUAAGUCCCGCAACGAGCGCAACCCUUAUUAUCAGUUGCCAGCAUUAAGUUGGGCACUCUGGUGAGACUGCCGGUGACAAACCGGAGGAAGGUGGGGAUGACGUCAAAUCAUCAUGCCCCUUAUGACCUGGGCUACACACGUGCUACAAUGGAUGGUACAACGAGUUGCGAACUCGCGAGAGUAAGCUAAUCUCUUAAAGCCAUUCUCAGUUCGGAUUGUAGGCUGCAACUCGCCUACAGAAGUCGGAAUCGCUAGUAAUCGCGGAUCAGCAUGCCGCGGUGAAUACGUUCCCGGGCCUUGUACACACCGCCCGUCACACCAU